rnacentral:rRNA from 1 species
CAUGUAGAUGAUCUGCCUCUCGGAGGGGGACAACCAGUGGAAACGCUGGCUAAUACCCCAGAUGUUAACCUUUUUAGGAAACGGUUAAACUAAAACUACCGGUGCCGAGAGAGGAGUCUGCAUCCCACUCAGCUAGUUGGUAAGGUAACGGCUUACCAAGGCGAAGACGGGUAGGGGACGUGAGAGCGUGAUCCCCCACAUUGGUACUGACACACGGACCAAAUAACCUACGGGUAGCAGCAGCGAGGAAUCUUGCGCAAUGGACGAAAGUCUGACGCAGCAACACCGCGUGGAGGAUGA